CAUCCCCAGGAAAACUGUACAAUGUCAAGGUAUAUCCUGAAGAGGAUGACAUUGAUAUAGGUGUAGUCAUAACAGCUGAUGAAGGUUCACAGUGUGACCCAGAUCCUCUUCUUCAAGAAAAUACUUUGUUGAAGGAGGAAAACAUACUUUUGAAGGAAAAGCUUCACAAACUGCAAUGGGGUGUGAACAAAAUCAAAGAUGAUGAUGUUGCAACUAGAUUCUAUACCGGAUUGCCCAGCUUUGCUGUUUUCCUCUGGCUGUACAAUUUCCUACUUCCAAAGGCAAGGUGCAUGACCUACUGGGUUGGUGAAGGUACAUCUGAGACAGGAAGACAGCGGCCAAAUAAAAGCACUCUCCCUCUCAUUGACCAGUUGCUGGCAGUUCUUAUGCGUCUGAAGGUUGCGCUUCUAGUAACUGAUAUUGCUGAACGAUUUGGAAUUUCACCUUCAAGAUUUUCUUCCAUCUUUACAACAUGGAUUUGCCUUCUUCAUGCAGAGCUCUGUGCUCUGAAUAAGUUUCCCUCAAGAGAAAAAAUUGCAUCUUGUUUGCCUGAAUGCAUGAAAAAGUUUCCAAAUUUAAGAGUAAUUCUCGACUGUACUGAAAUAUAUAUACAGAAAUCAUCAAGUUUAGUUAACCAGAAUUUAAACUUUUUCAAAUUAUAAACAUCAUACGACAAUGAAGUUUUUGAUAGGGAUUUCACCUGCUGGAGUUAUUUCUUUUGUGUCAAAUGCUUGGGGUGGAAAAACUUCAGACAGGCAGAUGGUUAUUGAUAGGGGGUUUUUGGAUUUAUUAGAACCAGGAGACAAUGUAAUGGCUGAUAAAGGUUUUACAAUUAGAGAUUUACUGCAUGAAAGAGGUUGUACUUUAAACAUUCCACCAUUCAACACUAAAGGACAAUUUUCAGUUGAUGAAAUUCUGUACACACAAGAAAUUGCAAAGGUUCGCAUUCAUGUCGAGAGAAGUAUAGGUAGGAUUAAAUGUUUUCAUAUUUUUGAUGGUGUAAUGCCACUUUCACUUGCACCUUUGUUAAAUCAAAUGUUUCAAGUUGCUAGUUUCUUGACAAAUCUUGAUGUUCCACUCAUUGAAAAUUAAAUGUACAAAGAGAUUUUAUUCUAAGUCACUCAAUGAAAUAUCUCAAUAAAAUGUCAAUUUUGUAGCACACAUUGAUGAAAUAGAAAUGAGAGUAUCAGUAUCUGAGUAUAUGUUGGUUAGAUGCUUAGAAGGUAUAUUUGAAGGUACUGUAAAUCACUUUUUA